CACAUGCAAGUCGCACGAGAAAGUGGGGGCAACUCCAUGAGUACAGUGGCGCACGGGUGAGUAACACGUGGAUAACCUGCCUUGGAGUGGGGAAUAACCCUGGGAAACCGGGGCUAAUACCGCAUACGUUCCCUUGGGCGCAAGCUCGGGGGAGGAAACGCGCAAGCGGCUCUAAGAGGGGUCCGCGGCCGAUUAGCUAGUUGGUAGGGUAACGGCCUACCAAGGCUUUGAUCGGUAGCCGGCCUGAGAGGGCACACGG
rnacentral:rRNA from 1 species